rnacentral:rRNA from 1 species
AUUGAACGCUGGCGGCAGGCCUAACACAUGCAAGUCGAACGAGUGGCGGACGGGUGAGUAAUGUCUGGGAAACUGCCUGAUGGAGGGGGAUACCUACUGGAAACGGUAGCUAAUACCGCAUACCAUCGGAUGUGCCCAGAUGGGAUUAGCUAGUAGGUGGGGUAAAGGCUCACCUAGGCGACGAUCCCUAGAUGGUCUGAGAGGAUGAACAGACACACUGGAACGGAGACACGGUCCAGACUACUACGGGAGGCAGUAGUGGGGAAUAUUGCACAAUGGGCGAAAGCCUGAUGCAGCCAGGCCGCGGGUAUGAAGAAGGACUUCGGGUUGUAAAGUACUGUCAGCGGGGAGGCGUUACCCGCAGAAGAAGCACCGGCUAACUCCGUGCCAACAGCCGCGGUAAUAC